rnacentral:lncRNA from 1 species
UCCCAAGGUUGUGAGUUGAGGGGGCUAAGUUUGAACAUCUUCCUGUAUCCCAAACCUCAGGCUAAGCCUCAGACAUAAGGAGACACGUGACCUUUCUGCAGCUUUUUCACCAUUUCCAGUAAGUCUUCGGUCUUCUUUAAAGACUUGGUCUGACCUGUGGAGAUGAAAACCAGAAUUACAGCAUGCCACGAGAGUGAGAGGGGACUGAGGAAAGGUCCAAACUUAUCUGGGAACGGAGGGAAAAAGCCUCAGUGGGUUCUGAGGACACCCCUGGGCUGAGCCAAGGAUAGGCUGGGGGGCAGCUUUCCAGCCAGAGCAGGGUCCAGGCAGGACCCCUGAUGGUGUGUGCCCGAUGAAUCAAGAACUCCUACAGGUCAGUUCUCCCUGAAAGGUCAUGGAACACCACAGUCAUCCCCUUAACGAAAUCCCAAGGUGAGAGAAGGGGAUGUACUUUUGCUGCUGCUGUUCAAAAUCAGAAGUUUUAACCAAUGCACUAGGACAGAACGACAUCAUAUGAAUUUCUUUAAAAUCAUGAUAGGCCACAAUGUGCAAAUUCUUAAAGAACUGAAGGGUCUAGGAAAUGGUUCACUAAUGGCUGCUAACAUCCACACAAGACAACUGGAUAUUCGGUCUCCUGAUGGAAGAACACAACGCAACCUGUGAAGGAUUUUACUCCCUCACCCCAACACCCCAAAAAGGGUGGGGACUCUUAUCAAGUAACCAGGUUUCCAUAUCUAAAUACCAAUUCAGAGGAACCAUACGAGACAGGAAAACAUGUUAAAUGACACCGUGAGAAUGAAAUCAGCAUCCUCCAGACUCCAGGUGACGGCGUGGGACAACUUGGUUUCUUUGACAAAUAAAUUGCAAAGAAGGAAAAGAGAGAGAGAGGAAACUCUACAGAUUAAAAGAGAUUUGAGGCACUUCAGACUAUACCACAAAGCUAGUCAUCAAAAUGGCAUGGUACUGGCACAAAAACAGACAUAUACAUCAGUGGAAGAGCAUACACAGCCCAGACAAAUACACACACUUAUGGUCAAUUAAUCUACAGCAAGGGAGCCAAGAAUAUACAA